UAUAUAUUGUAUCACAGCCUUGAGUCUUCUUGAGUCCUUGAGUCGGCCAUUUCAUUUCUGUUGUAGUUGCAGGUAGUUUCGGCAGAAAGCUGUUGCAACAGAAAAAACUUUGUUGUCUGAUAAAAAUGUGUGCAUUGAGUGAAGCUCGAUUAUAUAUUAAGUCUCAAGAUCGAAGAUUUCUUGAAGUAUCUAUAAAUAUUUGAGUAUGUAACCUAACCUAACCUAGGCUUGGUUUACAUCUAUUUAUCAUGCACAUAUAUUUGUUCGCUAAUGCCAUGUUUGGUGAGUAAUUAAUAUAGCUAUAUAUAUGUAUGUACUGCUAAAAUUUAAUAAAAUACUGCUUAAAAUAAAUAUUUAAAAAGAUAAAUAGGAAGUAACAUUUGUUGAAAAAAUAAAAGAAAGUAAUGAAAAUUAUUUGUGGUAAAUAAAGACGCCUUAAAAUUGGGCAAAAAAUGACUGAAUUUGUUUUAGAACAUUUUUAAUCUUUAAGGCAAGAUUAAAAGCCUGGAUUAAUCUCCGGUAAGGAUUAUUUUCUUCCUUUUCGGUUUCAACCCAGGCUACAGAUUUAUACACAUUUAUACAGCAGAAUUUUAUACAUUUCUAUGUCACAUUACUGUACACUCAGAUCAUUGAUCAUGCAUGUUUAGAACGAAUUUAAUCUUACGCCAUAUUACACUAUGAGUCGCGGUGAGAUACAGUUGAUAAUUCAUUACUGAUCAAUGAUUAAGUUUGCUGCUUCAGUCAAUCUGCAACCGCAAAUGAGCUUGUAGUACAAAUUUUACAUUUUUAUACAUAUCGAGCACAAAGCAUGAUCAAGACUCAAGACACAAAGCUCUUCAAAGAGUAGGAAAAAAUAGAAAAAAGUUCAGUUGUGCAAGUUACUUGGUUUCAACAGUUAAGAUAAUAAAUUCUGCUAAAGCAUAAGAACAAUGACAUCUGAGUGAUACUGAUUGAAUACAUUUGUAAACUCUGAAACAGUCAAUUGGUAUUUGACUGUUAAUAAUCAAAUAUUAAUGCUUGUUGAAUCAUCAAAAGAGAAAAGGAAAAAAAGCAAGCAAUUUCGGAAGAGAUUAAAAAUCAGAGGUAAAACUCAAAUCUGGAUGCUAUAGAUUUACUGGUUCACCAUUA